GUCCAUGGCACUGGGCAAAGUCAGUAGCUCUGUGGAUACGCAUGUGGUCAGCAAAGACGAGCAGAAAUGAACCCAUGCUCGGUGCUGGCUGUCCUGCUUUCCUGAGCUCAGCUGCUCGAGUGUGUUUCAAGAAGAAUAAUAGUAAAAGCUGAAUGCCUCUGCCACUGAUCGCCGUCCCCUCCUGUCCUGAUUUAGUGAGAGCCACGGAGUGAUCCUGGGCACAUCUCAGAGGACACCAUACUGAUUCCAGCUGGGAACCAAGAUGAGUAAGAUGCAAUCCCUACCUCCAAGGAGGCCAAGACAGGAACAAGAACCUCUAGGUAUCAACUUCCACUUCUCUUCUCUGGAAAAUUUGAGGGCUGUCUCCAAACGGUGCUUCGAUUGCGAGUCAGAGGGAGAAGAAUGUUCAGGUCCCGUAAGCAGAAGCCCCCACGGAGUGUGUUUGCUGGUAACCAGCUUUUCUCAGGUUGUAAUGACUGAAGGUGAAUGAAGGAUUGAAGGCUUUGGGUGGAGAAUUAUCAAUCAGAUAGGGUGAAUAAACUCAAUUCCUCCAAAACACGAACUAUUUCAAAGGUCACUGUCUUAAGAAAAAAUGUUGAUCAAUGGUCUCUUUCAGGAAAUCAACUCCGUUGAAAUAUAAUUUAUACUGCUUUUUACUUAUGUCUUCUUUCAGUGAAUUAAACUAUAGCCACC
rnacentral:lncRNA from 1 species